GAUGAACGCUGGCGGCGUGCCUAAUACAUGCAAGUCGAGCGAACAGAUGAGGAGCUUGUUCCUCUGACGUUAGCGGCGGACGGGUGAGUAACACGUGGAUAACCUACCUAUAAGACUGGGAUAACUUCGGGAAACCGGAGCUAAUACCGGAUAAUAUAUUUAAACACAUGGUUCAAUAGUGAAAGACGGAUUUGCUGUCAUUAAUAGAUGGAUCCGCGCCGCAUUAGUUAGUUGGUAAGGUAACGGCCUACAAAGGCAACGAUGCGAAGCCGACCUGAGAGGGUGAUCGGCCACACGGGAACUGGAACACGGUCCAGACUCCUACGGAGGGCAGCAGUAGGGAAUCUUCCGCAAUGGGCGAAGGCCUGACGGAGCAACGCCGCGUGAGUGAUGAAGGUCUUCGGAUCUUAAAACUCUGUUAUUAGGGAAGAACAAAUGUGUAAGUAACUAUGCACGUCUUGACGGUACCUAAUCAGAAAGCCACGGCUAACUACGUG
rnacentral:rRNA from 1 species